UACGUAGGGGGCAAGCGUUGUCCGGAUUUAUUGGGCGUAAAGAGCGUGUAGGCGGCCAGGUAGGUCUGCUGUGAAAACUCGAGGCUUAACCUCGAGCUGUCGGCGGAAACCAUCUGGCUAGAGUCCGGAAGAGGAGAAUGGAAUUCCCGGUGUAGCGGUGAAAUGCGCAGAUAUCAGGAGGAACACCGGUGGCGAAGGCGGAUCUCUGGGCCUGUUCUGACGCUGAGGCGCGAAAGCUAGGGGAGCGAACAGG
rnacentral:rRNA from 1 species